CUACGGAGGGUGCGAGCGUUAAUCGGAAUUACUGGGCGUAAAGCGCGCGUAGGCGGUUUGUUAAGUCGGAUGUGAAAUCCCCGGGCUCAACCUGGGACCUGCAUCCGAUACUGGCAGGCUAGAGUCUGGUAGAGGGGGGUAGAAUUCCUGGUGUAGCGGUGAAAUGCGUAGAUAUCAGGAGGAAUACCAGUGGCGAAGGCGGCCCCCUGGACUGAGACUGACGCUGAGGUGCGAAAGCGUGGGGAGCAAACAGGAUUAGAUACCCCAGUAGUCC
rnacentral:rRNA from 1 species